UACGUAUUUGGCAAGCGUUUUCCUUAUUUACUGGGCGUAAAGAGCGCUCAUGCGUUCUAUUUAUUCUUUUGUGAAAGCCCCCGGCUCAACUGGGGAGGGUCACGCGAUACUGAUCGACUCGAAGGCAGGAGAGGGUAGUGGAAUUCCCGGUGUAGUGGUGAAAUGCGUAGAUAUCGGGAGGAACACCAGUGGCGAAGGCGACUACCUGGCCUGUUCUUGACGCUCAGGUGCGAAAGCGUGGGGAGCAAACGGG
rnacentral:rRNA from 1 species